GUUCCUACGGGGGGCAGCAGUGGGGAAUAUUGCACAAUGGGGGGAACCCUGAUGCAGCAAUGCCGCGUGAAGGAUGAAGGUUUUCGGAUUGUAAACUUCUUUUGUACGGGACGAAGAAAGUGACGGUACCGUAAGAAUAAGCCACGGCUAACUACGUGCCAGCAGCCGCGGUAAUACGUAGGUGGCAAGCGUUAUCCGGAUUUACUGGGUGUAAAGGGCGAGUAGGCGGGAUUGCAAGUCGGAUGUGAAAUCCUGCGGCUUAACCGCAGAACUGCAUUUGAAACUGUUGAUCUUGAGUACUGGAG
rnacentral:rRNA from 1 species